rnacentral:rRNA from 1 species
UACGUAGGGUGCGAGCGUUAAUCGGAAUUACUGGGCGUAAAGCGUGCGCAGGCGGUUCGCCAAGUCAGGUGUGAAAUCCCCGGGCUUAACCUGGGAAUUGCGCUUGAAACUAGCGGGCUUGAGUGUGGCAGAGGGGGGUGGAAUUCCACGGUGUAGCAGUGAAAUGCGUAGAGAUGUGGAGGAACACCGAUGGCGAAGGCAGCCCCCUGGGUCAACACUGACGCUCAUGCACGAAAGCGUGGGGAGCAAACAGG